CCUGGCUCAGGAUGAACGCUAGCGACAGGCUUAACACAUGCAAGUCGAGGGGCAGCACAGGUAGCAAUACCGGGUGGCGACCGGCGCACGGGUGAGUAACGCGUAUGCAACUUGCCUAUCAGAGGGGGAUAACCCGGCGAAAGUCGGACUAAUACCGCAUGAAGCAGGGAUCCCGCAUGGGAAUAUUUGCUAAAGAUUCAUCGCUGAUAGAUAGGCAUGCGUUCCAUUAGGCAGUUGGCGGGGUAACGGCCCACCAAACCGACGAUGGAUAGGGGUUCUGAGAGGAAGGUCCCCCACAUUGGUACUGAGACACGGACCAAACUCCUACGGGAGGCAGCAGUGAGGAAUAUUGGUCAAUGGCCGAGAGGCUGAACCAGCCAAGUCGCGUGAGGGAUGAAGGUUCUAUGGAUCGUAAACCUCUUUUAUAAGGGAAUAAAGUGCGGGACGUGUCCCGUUUUGUAUGUACCUUAUGAAUAAGGAUCGGCUAACUCCGUGCCAGCAGCCGCGGUAAUACGGAGGAUCCGAGCGUUAUCCGGAUUUAUUGGGUUUAAAGGGUGCGUAGGCGGCCUUUUAAGUCAGCGGUGAAAGUCUGUGGCUCAACCAUAGAAUUGCCGUUGAAACUGGGGGGCUUGAGUAUGUUUGAGGCAGGCGGAAUGCGUGGUGUAGCGGUGAAAUGCAUAGAUAUCACGCAGAACCCCGAUUGCGAAGGCAGCCUGCCAAGCCAUUACUGACGCUGAUGCACGAAAGCGUGGGGAUCAAACAGGAUUAGAUACCCUGGUAGUCCACGCAGUAAACGAUGAUCACUAGCUGUUUGCGAUACACUGUAAGCGGCACAGCGAAAGCGUUAAGUGAUCCACCUGGGGAGUACGCCGGCAACGGUGAAACUCAAAGGAAUUGACGGGGGCCCGCACAAGCGGAGGAACAUGUGGUUUAAUUCGAUGAUACGCGAGGAACCUUACCCGGGUUUGAACGCAUUCGGACCGAGGUGGAAACACCUUUUCUAGCAAUAGCCGUUUGCGAGGUGCUGCAUGGUUGUCGUCAGCUCGUGCCGUGAGGUGUCGGCUUAAGUGCCAUAACGAGCGCAACCCUUGCCACUAGUUACUAACAGGUAAAGCUGAGGACUCUGGUGGGACUGCCAGCGUAAGCUGCGAGGAAGGCGGGGAUGACGUCAAAUCAGCACGGCCCUUACAUCCGGGGCGACACACGUGUUACAAUGGCGUGGACAAAGGGAGGCCACCUGGCGACAGGGAGCGAAUCCCCAAACCACGUCUCAGUUCGGAUCGGAGUCUGCAACCCGACUCCGUGAAGCUGGAUUCGCUAGUAAUCGCGCAUCAGCCAUGGCGCGGUGAAUACGUUCCCGGGCCUUGCACACAC
rnacentral:rRNA from 1 species